GCACAAUGUGACUUGAAAUGUCCUGUUUUAGCAGAACGCUUUGUCAGAGGCAAUUAAAAUUAACUGGGAGACAGGCUGAGUAACUUAAAAAAAAACAAGCACGCAUACCAGCGCAAUGCGCUGAUUUUGACUGGAGCAAUGGGCUUUAUUUGAGUAAGCCUGCUUUGAGAAUGACAAUAAAUUUUCAUUACACAUUUCCUCAGUCGUUUCGUUUUCAACUGUUUACAAACUACUGCAUCUACCGAAAUCAAUAAAUGAAUACAAACAAAUGUUAUGUGUCGUCCAUGAUUAUCAACAUUUUCACAAGUGUACAGAUAGUACGUACUCUAUUUCUCGAUCCCCAUCCCUCCCUCUCAGUUCAGUGAAUCUAUAUAUCAACAUUUGGAAAAGCUUACAUGCAUGCAUUAGUAUUAAGAGGCAGUCCGUGUAAAAACCGACCACUCGAAUUUCUUAAGAUUACAGAUUUCCUUCAAACUUUCUGUGUGGAAGAAGUCAUUCAUAAAAUGAACAAAAAACGUUGUCUUGGAAAUUGUAGUCAUU